CCCUUAGAUGUUCUGGGCUGCACGCGCGCUACACUGAUGCGCUCAACGAGUUUACGACCUUGCCCGGAAGGGUUGGGUAAUCUUUUUAAAACGCAUCGUGAUGGGGAUAGAUUAUUGCAAUUAUUAAUCUUUAACGAGGAAUUCCUAGUAAGCGCGAGUCAUCAGCUCGUGCUGAUUACGUCCCUGCCCUUUGUACACACCGCCCGCCGCUCCUACCGAUUGAGUGAUCCGGUGAAUAAUUCGGACUGCAGCAGUGUUCAGUUCCUGAACGUUGCAGCGGAAAGUUUAGUGAACCUUAUCACUUAGAGGAAGGAGAAGUCGUAACA
rnacentral:rRNA from 1 species